GAUGAACGCUGGCGGCGUGCCUAAUACAUGCAAGUCGAGCGAACGGACGAGAAGCUUGCUUCUCUGAUGUUAGCGGCGGACGGGUGAGUAACACGUGGAUAACCUACCUAUAAGACUGGGAUAACUUCGGGAAACCGGAGCUAAUACCGGAUAAUAUUUUGAACCGCAUGGUUCAAAAGUGAAAGACGGUCUUGCUGUCACUUAUAGAUGGAUCCGCGCUGCAUUAGCUAGUUGGUAAGGUAACGGCUUACCAAGGCAACGAUGCAUAGCCGACCUGAGAGGGUGAUCGCCCACACUGGAACUGAGACACGGUCCAGACUCCUACGGGAGGCAGCAGUAGGGAAUCUUCCGCAAUGGGCGAAAGCCUGACGGAGCAACGCCGCGUGAGUGAUGAAGGUCUUCGGAUCGUAAAACUCUGUUAUUAGGGAAGAACAUAUGUGUAAGUAACUGUGCACAUCUUGACGGUACCUACUCAGAAAGCCACGGCUAACUACGUG
rnacentral:rRNA from 1 species